rnacentral:tRNA from 1 species
GGUGUUGUGGUUCAGUGGUAGAGUUCUUGUCUUACAUGUAUAAGGCCCUGGGUUCAAUCCCCAGCACUCAUCA